rnacentral:rRNA from 1 species
CUACGGGUUGCUCCAGUGAGGAAUAUUGCACAAUGGGGGGAACCCUGAUGCAGCAACGCCGCGUGGAGGAUGACGCAUUUCGGUGUGUAAACUCCUUUUAUAUGUCAAGAAAAUGACGGUAGCAUAUGAAUAAGCACCGGCUAACUCCGCGCCAGCAGCCGCGGUAAUACGGAGGGUGCAAGCGUUACUCGGAAUCACUGGGCGUAAAGGACGCGUAGGCGGGUUGGAAAGUCAGGUGUGAAAUCCUACAGCUUAACUGUAGAACUGCACUUGAAACUUCUAAUCUAGAGUAUGGGAGGGGGAGAUGGAAUUAGUGGUGUAGGGGUAAAAUCCGUAGAUAUCACUAGGAAUACCUAAAGCGAAGGCGAUCUCCUGGAACAUUACUGACGCCAAGGCGUGAAAGCGUGGGGAGCAAACAGGAUUAGAUACCCCGGUAGUC